GAUGAAGAACGUAGCGAAAUGCGAUACUUGGUGUGAAUUGCAGAAUCCCGUGAACCAUCGAGUCUUUGAACGCAAGUUGCGCCCGAAGCCAUCAGGUUGAGGGCACGUCUGCCUGGGCGUCACAUAUCGUUGCCCAAUGCCUAUUGCAGUGCAAUAGGAAUUUCUAGGGCGAAUGAUGGCUUCCUGUGAGCGUUGUUGCCUCGCGGUUGGUUGAAAAUCGAGUCCUUGGUAGGGUGUGCCAUGGUAGAUGGUGGUCGAGUUAGAACGAUACCGAUCAUGUGCAUGCUCCCCAAAAUAUGGCCUCUAUGACCCACACGCGUCUUUUGACGCUCAUGACGAGACCUCAGGUCAGGCGGGGCUACCCGCUGAAUUUAAGCAUAUCAAUAAGCGGAGGA
rnacentral:misc_RNA from 1 species